rnacentral:lncRNA from 1 species
AACACUAUCUGAGAUUAAUCCUCGUUCGGGUCUUCAGUCACAUAUUGGUCUAGUGGAAGGAGAGAAAAUAAAGAGAAAAAAGACUUCACUUGAAUCAGGAAAUUACUUUUACUAUCUCUUCUAAGCCCUUUUUGCCCAGGCCUUGAUACUAUUUCACAGAUCUCUUUCAGCAGACAUUUACACCAUUUUGUGAAGAGUAGUGAAACAGAAAUUUUCAGUCCCAAAUCUCUGUACUUCCAUGGGGCUCCCACAAAAUUUCAGCAAUCAAAAGUACACUAAUAUUUUGUAAAAGAAAACAAAACAUCUUUGUUCUGAAUAGUGAUUUUUGGUUCAACUUCCAUAUUCAGCUCAGUGAAGUAAACCAUAAAAUUAUGUACGUACAUUUUGAUAUAUUUCUGCAAUUUUAAUUAAUUUAACUGUAUUAAUAUUUUUGAAUUAAUAGUUUCAAGAAAUGCUAGUUUGUGGUCUGCAUUUCACAUCUCAAGUGCAACAUUUUAAAUUUAUAUGGACUUCUUUUAAGUCAGUGGGCUCAGUCCGGUGUACCAACAAAGUCUGCUCUGUAGCCAUAACUUUCUCGUAGUAGAACUCCAUCUGUAAUUAUACUUUAUAGUAUAUUACACUAGAGGAUAACAAUUUGCUGCAGAAAUCCAGAUUUUGACUUUGAUUUUUUCACUUAAACUGCCAGCUUAAUGAAAGAAUUUAAGGAUAUUUUGCCAGCAAAGUAUGUAAAAAAGAGACGAAUGAAUGAAUGAAGAAUAAAGAGUAUAAUGAGUGCAUUUAAAUCCCUUCAACAUCCCUAAACAUUUAUAAUUGUAUAAACUACACUUAUACAAUUAAAAUAGAAAACAACUAUGAUGAUCUGGAGAGAUCACUCAACUCAUCCUCUACCCCAAAAGAGGGAUCAGCAUUUAGGAUGUUAACCAGAAUAUAUAAUAAAGCUUUCUUUUUUGCCUAUCACAACAUGAAGGUAUCAUUGUCAAUCAAGAAAAUCCUUGUCAAUAUUUUUCAGAAGUCCAGCCCAGGAGCCUAGAUAUAUAAAGGCAAAUGACAUAAUGGUUAACUCAAUGUUCGUAUUUUCUAGUUCCAGUUGGCAAUUAUCUCCAUCUGUACAUAAGGCCUGACCUAAUGUCCAUUGAAAUUAAUGUGGAUUACUUUACCAUUCCAUUUCAUGAAUUUAGGAGUAAGCCCCUAUCCAAGCCCCCAUGUGGAAAAAUUACAUCUGCAAACAUGCAAUGUUUCAAGCAAAUUUGACUACUUAAAACUUUUUUCCUGGAAGUUUGAUCCUCAAACAAACACAAAUCACCUUGUUAUAAGAAAAUGUCUCCUGCUAAAUUGAAGCAUCAUUAUUAAAAUCAGAAUAUAUUAAUUAAUAAAAUCCCUAAUGAAGGGCAUUUUCAUCUCUUCUCACAUAUUUGUGCUGCAGAUGACUUCAUACACCUGAAUAACUUGCAGUUUCUUCAAGAAGCUCUAAUAACACUCUUAACAAAGCGACAAAGACACACAUGAAAAAUUUAGAUAUCUACAGAGAACCUUUAAAAAACACUAAAGUUGUGUUUUACUUCUUGUUUCUUGAACAGCAGCCUUUUACCAUUCUGAGUAUUUUCUGUACAAUGGAGAUGUUAAUAGUUACCCUCAGACUGUACCUUAUCUUUUAAUGUAAACCUCUUAGGCAGUGCAUUCAUGUUUCAUGUCCUUUCACAGUGCGGCUCACUUAGAGACAAAAUUAAGAGGAAUUUGUUUCAGUUGAACUAUUCCUUUUUAACAGACACUUUCCACCUCCCUUGUAGAACCUGCCAAAAGUAAAAUCAAGGUUUAAUAUUACACGUUUUUUUCCCUCAAGAUCUGAAAAACCUGUAAGGUCAUGGGGAUUUUUAAAACUUAUUUGUUAUUUACCGAAGUGUCAUUAAAGCAUUCGCUAGUUGAUGGGCUGUCAACUAUGAGACAGUCCUACACCUCUAAUCCUCCAGUUGUAGACUUUUAAGAUAAUCAAAUCUUAAAUUUGCCUAGGUGGAAACUACUUCCAAGUUUUACACUUUUCCAACAACCUUUAAUGAAUUUGUUUUUCUACAAGAACAAUAAAAGACUAAUUAUGUUGAUCAUAUAUUAGUCUCAGACUGAGCAUCCUAGACAAAGUGUUGAACUUUCAUUCUUUUACAUAUUCAAAUCCCAUAUUAUAGAUGUCUAUGACUAGGAAGUAUUCUGUUCAGAUAUUUUAAAUAUCCAACCAAAAUUAAAAUAGUAAAUUUUUAUUAGCUUUCUACUUUCAUAUGUAUGUUGCUUAUACAUAAUAAAGAAUGAUGUCUCAUCCAAUCAAAAUCUAACCAACUUAGAAAAGUAUGCUUUUGCUAUUUAUGUUACUUUGAACAUAACAGAAAAAUAUGUAUUGCCUAAAAAUGAUUAUGACCCUGUAAUACAAAAUAUUAUUCUAAGCAGAGAUGUACCCAGUCACUAAUUCAAAGCCUCAUUAUGAGAGAACUUAUUUAAUCAAGAAUUUGUGAUGAGCAUUUUGUCUAUCACUUUCCUCUGCAGAAAUGCUGGAAAUUGUAUAAUAAUGCUCAUAUCCAUCUUUAUACUGCAUUUUCAGACUCUGCACAAAAUCUCAACACAUAGGGACUGCUGGUGUUCAUGGAGCCUAAAGUUCAACAAUUUUUCUUGUCUCUAAAUGAAGAAGUGAAGGUAAGGUUAUCUCCAAUAUACAUCUUAGCACUAGGUAAGCAUAGAGUAGAAAAACCUCUGUAUCAACACCCAGAAUGGUGUUACAGCUGUUUUCAUGCUAUAUUCUCUAAAGCUCCAACUCAGUGAACUGUCUCCAGUGCCUUUUGACAACAAGAUCUGGUUCCCUGGGUAAAAACUGCAACAAGGUCAUAACUAACAGAAGGACUUAAGUAUUUUUUAUAUUAAAACAUUCCACAUAAAUGUACAAAAUUUUAAAAAUUAUUAAGCAAAAGGAGGAGCAGAAAUAGAAUAUAUUGUAGUAAGUAAUACAGUAUGUUUCAAUAAUUUCUUUUUAGAUUUGCAACCAAGUCAUGCAAGAUGUAUUUAAUCAGUGUAAAUAUUAUCUUUUAGUAUUUUCUAUAUAUCUUUCAAACUGGGAUGUUGUUUCUUUCUCCAUCAGAGGUCUGUACUGAGCACUAUUGUCAACAUUCCCACCAAGAAAAUUAUGACCAAAACUGGUUCAUAAUAUCUUAGACCUACACAAGGGACAUGGCUGCUUUCGGGAGACUUUACCUUAAUACUGGCAUUGGACAUAAGCCUUGAUUUAAGUUCCCAGGCAACGAUCUAUUAAAGCUAUAUUACUAAGGUUCACACUGCCCCUGAAAGCUUUAUUAAAUGAUUAUUUCAUAGCAUGGAGGGAAAUGUAUUGAAAAUUAAUAUGCAGCAUCAGCCAGUCAUGGCUCAUAGCUGAAAUAUGCUCUUUGUAUCCAAAAGUAGAAAUUUCCAAAUAAGACUGGGUGAGUGAAAUUCCUCUCAUUAACUUUACUUUUCUAAUCUGAGUUGUACAGCUCAGUGACUGGGAGAAAUGGCCAUUUCUAGAGCUGAUUUCAUUUUUCUUCUGUCUUCAGAGACCACUUUCACAUUGGGUGCACUGCCCUCUGGGAGGGCCCCUCUGCUUCAAUAGACCAUAGAAGGAGCCCAGCUGCCUCACUUUAAUGGCUGAAGUGAAAAAACAUGAACCCCCACUCAUAUGAGAAGAGUGAGAUUUUAUGUAUCCAUCCAACCCAUGGGAUUCUGACAGACUCAAAGAAGCAUCUUGAAUAUUUACACAUCUCAGUGCAUUAGGCCAUUCUUUUUGUAGAAAACAAUCUGAGACAACCAAUGCCAAGUAAAAUCAUGCCAACAUGUACUUCUUCAAAAGGAUUUUUCAGAAACAGCUAAUUAGCUGAACUUCUACAGUGUUGCCACACUCAGAAUAUACAUAAUUUCUUCUAUAAAAACACAAUUACAUGUUUUAUGAAAGUGAUUUUUUUAAUGAAUAGUUAAGACCUCUAAAUAAUUUAAAGAUACAAUUUAAACCUGACAAAGUUUGUCAUUUUACAUUAUUAAACUGCUAAGAAAUAUAUUAAUUUGGAUCAUGCACUCUAAAGUUAUGAACAAUUAAGAAAAUGGGCAGGUUGUCUUGUUGGGUCCCAAUUAAUUUGGAAGGUAAGGACUAGGAAAAGCCCAGGCAGGCAGCUCCUGCCCUGCGAGCACCAGGUGGCAGUCCAGCGUUGACUGACAGGUCUCCAUGUUCUGCUGCACUCCCCAGGCCAAAAGCUUUCCGUGUUACAGUGUUUGUCUGUCUAACCCUGCUCGGAAAGCUUUUCUAUAUGCUAAAUAACAUAUAUUCACCUCGGAAUUUAAGGGCAGAGAAUAAGAUUAAUGUUUUUCAUAAACUUGCCCACACUGCCUUACUCAUGCUGAAAUAACGAGGAAUUACUUAAAGCGUAUUUCCAUAAACUGAGCUCUGAAAUUUUGCUGGUUGAACAGAUCACACAGUAUACCCCAAAAGUUUAAAUAACCUAUUAAACCACGUACAGGAAAUAUGUGGCAUCUAAGUCUUUUAUCUACUAGAGCAUGAUGUUUUUCACAGAACAUAUAGGAAAGAUAAUUUCAAAUCUCUCUUACUCAAAA